AAACGACUCUCGGCAACGGAUAUCCCGGCUCUCGCAUCGAUGAAGAACGUAGCGAAAUGCGAUACUUGGUGUGAAUUGCAGAAUCCCGUGAACCAUCGAGUCUUUGAACGCAAGUUGCGCCCGAAGCCUCGGCUAAGGGCACGUCUGCCUGGGUGUCACGU
rnacentral:rRNA from 3 species